rnacentral:rRNA from 1 species
UCUUGCGCAAUGGACGAAAGUCUGACGCAGCCACGCCGCGUGAGUGAAGAAGGCCUUCGGGUUGUAAAGCUCUGUCGAGCGGGACGAAAAAUCAUUAGGUGCAUAGCCUAGUGAUCUGACGGUACCGCUAAAGGAAGCACCGGCUAACUCCGUGCCAGCAGCCGCGGUAAUACGGAGGGUGCAAGCGUUGCUCGGAAUUAUUGGGCGUAAAGGGUAGGUAGGUGGUCUCAUUUGUCUGGGGUGAAAGCCUUGAGCUUAACUCAAGAAGUGCCCCAGAAACGGUGAGACUAGAGUCUUGGAGAGGGUCGUGGAAUUCCCGGUGUAGCGGUGAAAUGCGUAGAGAUCGGGAGGAACACCAGAGGCGAAGGCGGCGACCUGACAAGUACGACACUCAACUACGAAA